rnacentral:rRNA from 1 species
AACGAACGCUGGCGGCAUGCCUAACACAUGCAAGUCGAACGAGACCUUCGGGUCUAGUGGCGCACGGGUGCGUAACGCGUGGGAACCUGCCCUUAGGUUCGGAAUAACUCCCCGAAAGGGGUGCUAAUACCGGAUAAUGUCUUCGGACCAAAGAUUUAUCGCCUUUGGAUGGGCCCGCGUUGGAUUAGCUAGUUGGUAGGGUAAAAGCCUACCAAGGAGACGAUCCAUAGCUGGUCUGAGAGGAUGAUCAGCCACACUGGGACUGGGACACGGCCCAGACUCCUACGGGAGGCAGCAGUGGGGAAUAUUGGACAAUGGGCGAAAGCCUGAUCCAGCAAUGCCGCGUGGGUGAUGAAGGCCUUAGGGUUGUAAAGCUCUUUUACCCGGGAUGAUAAUGACAGUACCGGGAGAAUAAGCUCCGGCUAACUCCGUG